rnacentral:rRNA from 1 species
UACAUAGGGGGCAAGCGUUAUCCGGAUUUACUGGGUGUAAAGGGAGCGUAGACGGAUAAGCAAGUCUGAUGUGAAAAUCCGGGGCCCAACCCCGGAAUUGCAUUGGAAACUGCAUAUCUAGAGUGUCGGAGAGGCAAGUGGAAUUCCUGGUGUAGCGGUGAAAUGCGUAGAUAUCAGGAGGAACACCAGUGGCGAAGGCGGCUUGCUGGACGAUGACUGACGUUGAGGCUCGAAAGCGUGGGGAGCAAACAGG